rnacentral:rRNA from 1 species
GACGAACGCUGGCGGCGUGCCUGAUACAUGCAAGUUGAGCGCUGAAGGUUGGUACUUGUACCAACUGGAUGAGCAGCGCACGGGUGAGUAACGCGUGGGGAAUCUGCCUUUGAGCGGGGGACAACAUUUGGAAACGAAUGCUAAUACCGCAUAAAAACUUUAAACACAAGUUUUAAGUUUGAAAGAUGCAAUUGCAUCACUCAAAGAUGAUCCCGCGUUGUAUUAGCUAGUUGGUGAGGUAAAGGCUCACCAAGGCGAUGAUACAUAGCCGACCUGAGAGGGUGAUCGGCCAAAUUGGGACUGAGACACGGCCCAAACUCCUACGGGAGGCAGCAGUAGGGAAUCUUCGGCAAUGGACGAAAGUCUGACCGAGCAACGCCGCGUGAGUGAAGAAGGUUUUCGGAUCGUAAAACUCUGUUGGUAGAGAAGAACGUUGGUGAGAGUGGAAAGCUCAUCAAGUGACGGUAACUACCCAGAAAGGGACGGCUAACUACGUG